UACGAGGGGGGCAAGCGUUGCUCGGAAUUACUGGGCGUAAAGCGCACGUAGGCGGCUCUUUAAGUCGGGGGUGAAAUCCUGGAGCUUAACUCCAGAACUGCCUUCGAUACUGGAGAGCUCGAGUCCGGGAGAGGUGAGUGGAACUGCGAGUGUAGAGGUGAAAUUCGUAGAUAUUCGCAAGAACACCAGUGGCGAAGGCGGCUCACUGGCCCGGUACUGACGCUGAGGUGCGAAAGCGUGGGGAGCAAACAGG
rnacentral:rRNA from 1 species